UCUUGAUCUCUUGACCUCAUGAUCCACCCACUCAGCCUCCCAAAAUGUUGGGAUUACAGGCAUAAGCCACCGCACCCGGACAACACAUUAAUUUUUAAAUUGAAAUCACAAAUUUUAAUGUAUUUAAAUAACAAUUUAUAUCCUCCAAAAACACUCCGAGGUUCAAUAUUUUCUGCCAUAUGACUUUACAGUUUCUCCUAGUAAAAGUUCCAAGAGUAUUUCUCCAUCACUCAAUUUGGGUUCAGCUAUAUAACUUGUUUUAGCAAAAGAAUAAAGUAGAAGUGAUCAUGUGCCAGUUUCAAGCCUAGACCUUAAGAGGCCUUGUAUGUUUCUAUUUGCCCCCUUUUACCUCUGAGGUUGUCAUGAGGAAAACAUUGCUGGGGUUAGCCCACUUGCCCUGGGAGGGAGAUGAGAGAUGUGUAAUGGAGAAAAUCUCGCUAAACUAAACCUAACUAACCCACAGAUCAGUAAGAUUAAUUAUCAGCAUGUUAAAGCACUGUGUUUGGAGGUGGUUUGUUAUGUAAUCUUUUGCGUGUCAAAGGCUAAUGGAAAUCUUCAUAAAGCAAAAACUGACCUUUUUAAAUCCCUAAUAGGACUUCAGUCUUAUGGUAACAGCUAUGAGAAUCAAGAUAUCUAGGAAAGUGUUCCAACAAAAGGAACAAAACAAAUCCAGUUCUAGUAAGUGGAAUACACAGUUUAUCCAUUGGCUCAAAAUAGAUGUUAACAGAUUUGAAAGAAAAAGUCAAAGCAAGGCAGGCAUCGGUGUUAACUUGUUACUUGACCUACUGGAGGCCCUUAAGC
rnacentral:lncRNA from 10 species